UUUAUGAGAUAAACAGAAAGCGAGCUAAUUCAAGUCAGUUAUACAAUUGCGAAAAAUCGGAAAUUAGUUGAGGCCCUCUGAAUUCUCAAAGAAAUAACAGCUGAUGGAGCCAGGAGAACAGAAAGACACUUCUCUUGAUGAAGAACCGUCAACAAAAAGAAAUUCAGCAGAGGAUGACAAAAAAGAAAUCAACCCUGAACAGAUUCUUCUCUGGGCAGCUCCAAUGAG